AAAGUCGUAACAAGGUAACCGUAGGUGAACCUGCGGUUGGAUCAUUAAAAAAUUUCUUUUGACAAAAAAAAGGAACAGGCCGGAAAGAAACUCGAUGCAUAAACGUCGGGCGUACUUCUGGAAUGUUUUUGUCAACAUCUUGUGAACCUGUAAACGUCUCUGGCGGGGGAGGAAUCGGCUUCUGCUGGUUUCUCGUCAGCUCCCUCCUCGGGAGCCGUGGACAUCCCGCCAACCGCUUCCCUUGGGGACAGGUGACCUUAGGGGAUCCUCGUAUCUCGGGGAAGCAAACCUUUUUGCUCACUUUUUUGUAUUUUCUGACUUUGGGAAUCGACUCUGAAUGGUUUGUUCAGAAAGCAAUUUUUGAACGUACACAACACAAAAUGAUUUAAAACAACUUUUGGCAACGGAUCUCUUGGCUCUC
rnacentral:misc_RNA from 1 species